rnacentral:misc_RNA from 1 species
UCCGAGUUGACCCCGGCAUAUGUCAAACCCAGGUAAGGUUCUUCGCGUUGCAUCGAAUUAAUCCGCAUGCUCCGCCGCUUGUGCGGGCCCCCGUCAAUUCCUUUGAGUUUUAGCCUUGCGGCCGUACUCCCCAGGCGGGGCGCUUAAUGCGUUAGCUGCGGCACGGAACCCGUGGAAUGGACCCCACACCUAGCGCCCUACGUUUACGGUGUGGACUAC